rnacentral:rRNA from 1 species
GACGAACGCUGGCGGCGUGCUUAACACAUGCAAGUCGAACGGAAAGGCCUGCUUGCAGGGUACUCGAGUGGCGAACGGGUGAGUAACACGUGGGUGAUCUGCCCUGCACUUCGGGAUAAGCUUGGGAAACUGGGUCUAAUACCGGAUAGGAACCAUCUUUAGUGUGGUGGUUGGAAAGUUUUUUCGGUGUAGGAUGAGCUCGCGGCCUAUCAGCUUGUUGGUGGGGUAAUGGCCUACCAAGGCGGCGACGGGUAGCCGGCCUGAGAGGGUGUACGGCCACAUUGGGACUGAGAUACGGCCCAGACUCCUACGGGAGGCAGCAGUGGGGAAUAUUGCACAAUGGGCGCAAGCCUGAUGCAGCGACGCCGCGUGGGGGAUGAAGGCCUUCGGGUUGUAAACUCCUUUCGCUAGGGACGAAGCUUUGUUGUGACGGUACCUAGAUAAGAAGCACCGGCUAACUACGUG